rnacentral:rRNA from 1 species
UACGUAGGUGGCAAGCGUUGUCCGGAUUUAUUGGGUUUAAAGGGUGCGUAGGCGGCUUUGUAAGUCAGUGGUGAAAUAUGGCAGCUCAACUGUCAGGGUGCCAUUGAUACUGCGGAGCUUGAGUACAGAUGAGGUAGGCGGAAUUGACGGUGUAGCGGUGAAAUGCUUAGAUAUCGUCAAGAACACCGAUAGCGAAGGCAGCUUACUGGGCCGUAACUGACGCUGAGGCACGAAAGUGUGGGGAUCAAACAGG